rnacentral:rRNA from 1 species
CCCCAGACUCCUACGGGAGGCAGCAGUGGGGAAUAUUGCACAAUGGGGGAAACCCUGAUGCAGCGACGCCGCGUGAGUGAAGAAGUAUUUCGGUAUGUAAAGCUCUAUCAGCAGGGAAGAAAAUGACGGUACCUGACUAAGAAGCCCCGGCUAACUACGUGCCAGCAGCCGCGGUAAUACGUAGGGGGCAAGCGUUAUCCGGAUUUACUGGGUGUAAAGGGAGCGUAGACGGCAUGGCAAGUCAGAUGUGAAAGCCCGGGGCUCAAUCCCGGGACUGCAUUUGAAACUGUCAGGCUGGAGUGCAGGAGAGGUAAGUGGAAUUCCUAGUGUAGCGGUGAAAUGCGUAGAUAUUAGGAGGAACACCAGUGGCGAAGGCGGCUUACUGGACUGUAACUGACGUUGAGGCUCGAAAGCGUGGGGAGCAAACAGGAUUAGAUACCCCUGUAACU